UUAAAACUUUGGCUGCCGUCAAAUGUCCUCUAACGGAGCUAACGGAGUUGAGGGUAUUUUUGGAUUUUUUGAAAUUCUCUCUUUUUCUCCAUUAUUUUCUCACCCACUCUGCCAUUGUCCUCCGUUCUAACUUCUCCCUCUCUCCUUCUCCUCUCUCCCUCUCUUUUUUUCUCUCUAUCCACACCACACUCUCCUCUACCACUUCAUCCUCUCAUGUAUCUCACGGAUUCUCCUUGUCCUGGAGACUCGAGCACUGAUGGUUGGGACUUCCUCUGUGCAGUGAUUAACAAAAUGCUCUUGAUUAUCGAUAGCGGCGUUGGAAUGACUAAAGGAGUUUUGAUGAAUAAUUUGGGGACGAUUGCGAGAUCGGGGACGAAGGAGCUUAUGGCGCAUUGCAGGCUGGGGCUGAUGUGAGCAUGAUUAGGCAAUUCGGUGUGGGAUGUUACUCUGCCUAUCUGGUGGCGGAGAAGGUUAUUGUGAACCCGGUGAUUGUGAACCCUAGCCCCCUGUUUCUUCCCCCCUUUUCCACAAACAAUUUUAUUUUUACAUAUCUACCCCUUUAUUUUUUUAAUUUCUGAAUGAGUUAACAGCUAAAAUCUAACGGACUUAACGGCAGCCAAAGUUUUAAAAGGCGGAGGUGAACUCCAGCCACACUUUUGUAGUUUUUAAAGUUUAGCAACAAACUUGCAAAUCGGUAUAAACUUCAGCCACACCCUUGAAAUUUACUCUAUACUUAAAGUGUACGGAGGAUUCGAAUAUUUUGAUAAUACUUAAGAUUAUUUGGACUCAACGUGUAAUUUUUAAUGUUUAAGACUGAAUCAACCUGAAAGUGUGUAGAAUUAGCAAUGUUUAAGAUCGAAUCAACAUGAAAGUGUGUAGAUAAAUGAAAUUUAUGGGAUUCACUCAAGCGAUUAUGAUUGCGAAAUUUAAAUAAAAAGUCAAAAAUCAAAACACGUGAAUAUUUUUUGUGUUAGUUGAUUAAAAUUUACAUGAAUUAAUUGCUUGAUUAAUGACUUCUAAUUUUUUGUAGCCACAAAUUUGUUAGUGAUACUUUUAUAAAUGAAAUUUUAAUGUAAGAUGAUGAGCGUAAUUAAUGUCAUUAUUUUAUGUGUAAUUAGAGCAUUCAAUAACAUUAGAUAAUUUUAGUGAAUUAAAUGAAUUUUUUGGCUGGUAUUCUUGUAAUUAUAUGAUGAAUAAGGGUAUAUCAGACAUUUCACAGCUAUUUUCUUGAUACUUUUUGCCCUUAGUUGCCUUAUUAUAUAUAUAAGUAGAUAUGUUUGGCCUGUUUUAAUUCCUACCGAGCACUACCCAUUUCCUACCGGUUUAUAAUAAAUAUUUUUGUAAUAAUUAUUUAGGUAAAUAAUAAUAAUACGUUUUUUUAGGAAUUUCAAUAUUCAUUAGUUAAAUAGACAAUUGUUACUUUUCUCCCCCCUUAAUUAGUUUAAAAAUAUUAUAUCUGAACUUAUAAUUUAAAACUAUAACAUGGUUGUAAUUUUAAAAAAUUAUGAAUAUUAUUGUUUGUUUUCAAAGCUGCCCCUUUGUUUUUUGAGAAAAGCAUGAAACCUUGUUUCCAAUGGUAUUAGUAUCCAAGGGUAUUAGUACACAUACAGCAAGCAACCUAUUUAAAAAAAGUUAGUAAUAAUAUAAAUGUUGAUCAUGUCAAUUGGUAGAAUUGUUAAGCUGCAAUGCAAUGACCUGAUCUCAACAAAACAAAGUAUCUAGUUUAAACUUUAAGUUGUUAACUCCAGUACUGUUGUUGUAAUUAAAUAGUACAUUCUCUAAUUUAUGCUUUUAACCUACUUUUCGCCUACAAUAUAUGUAUAUUACUACAAGUCCACUUUUGCACAUGCUAAUUUGUAGGAUGUUGAGGAUGAUCAUGGCAGUGAUACCACUACAGAAAUAGGCUACACUGAUGAGAGUGAUGUGGACAGUGAUGCAGAAGCCAUUGAAAUUGAAGGUUCUGGUAUAAAUGGAGCAGCUUUCGGUGAAGCAGCAUCUGAUGAGAAAGAUGGAGAAGACGAUUGUGAUGCUAGUGGCCAAGACGAGCACUAUGAUGAGGAAGCCUUGAAGUAGUUCUGAUAACUAAGUUAAUGCCUUGAUCGGGAGAAUAUCUAACUUUUUUAUGGUAUACGUUUGGCUAACUUUUAGUUGUGUUUUAUUUGGUAGGACUUAUGGUUAUCUAAAUUGACUUAAUAUAUAACCUUUUGUAUGUUCAGACAAUUUAAUAGUAUGUUCCAAAAUGGUGGUAGGUGUUCUGGUACGAACAUGUUGGAGGAGCUGAUGGACAAACAUUCAUGUAAUGGUGUUAUAAGGCGGUGAUGUUGGAUUAGUUAUAUUGUAAUGUUUAUUUUAGACGGUAAAUGGCAUGAUUGAUUGAUUUA